rnacentral:misc_RNA from 1 species
UUCGAGAAGGUCACUUGUCGGCUUGCGGCAUUUUCGAUCCUCUUCAUCUGAAUCUUUCCUCUCACCAUUUCCAAAGAUUAAGGCAGAAACCCCAGAAAUCCUGCGANNNNNNNAUUGCUCUAAAGAAAUCUAGCUCUCCCCUUCUUUUACAAGACCAGCAGAACGGCUAAAAAUGCUUUAGCGAGCUCAAAAUAUCAAAAUUUGACAAGAAUAGUAC